UUGGCGAGAAACGCGGUGUGCGAAAAUUGUCGGAAAAUCUUUGUUUGGUGCAAGCCCCGAGAGUCUUAAGGGGUCUCUCCCCAGGGCCAGGUUUGAACCGGGGUUUAAAGCACUUUGUGGGGAGGCCCCCACCGGGGUGAGGUUUUAAAAACCUCCUCCGAAGUGACCCUCUGUGAAUAUAGGGGGUUUAAAAGGCCCAAUUCCAACCUUUAGGUGAUAGCGGGUUCUUCUUCCCGAAAUUAUUUUUAGGGUAAAAGGCGUUCAUGUUUAGAAAGUGUUGAGGGGGGUUAGAGCCCCUUGAUUGGGCCUUAGGGGCCCUACCCCAAGGUUCCCAAACCCCAGGUCCAAAACUCCGAAUCCCUUUGCAUGGAUUCAUGGCAGUCAGGUGGUGGGUGAUAAAAUCCAUCAUCGAAAGGGAAACAGCCCAGACUACCAGCUAAGGUCCCAAAGUUCUAUUUAAGUGGAAAAGGAUGUGGAGUUGCUGUGACAACCAGGAGGUUGGCUUAGAAGCAGCCAUCCUUUAAAGAAAGCGUAACAGCUCACUGGUCAAGGCGAUUCUGCGCCGAAAAUAUAACGGGGCUAAAAUAGACACCGAAGCUGUAGACUUGAUCGUAUUCAAGUGGUAGGAGAGCGUUCUAAUUCAGCGUUGAAGCUAUAUCGGUAAGAAGUAGUGGAGCGGUUAGAAGCUGAGCAUGCAGGCAUGAGUAGCGAGAAAAGGGGUGAGAAUCCCCUUCGCCGAAAACCCAAGGGUUCCUACACGAUGCUCGUCAAUGUAGGGUUAGUCGGGUCCUAAGCUGAGUCCGAAAGGGGUAAGCGAUGGAAAAUCGGUUAAUAUUCCGAUACCAACUAUAGAGCGUGAUGGGAGGACGCAUAGGGCUAUGUGAGGUCACUGAUGGAAUAGUGGCUCGAAGGGUGUAGGCUGGGAGAGAAAGGAAAAUCCACUCUCCUAUAGCUAAGACCUGACAGGCUGUGGAGGCUUUUAGGAGCCAAAACAGAAUCACAGAUGCCGAAGUGCCAAGAAAAGUCUCUAAGCAUAUCUAUAGUUGCCCGUACCGUAAACCGACACAGGUGGGUGAGAUGAGAAUUCUAAGGCGCGUGGAAGAACCAUUGUUAAGGAACUCUGCAAACUAGCACCGUAUCUUCGGUAUAAGGUGUGCCUACUUAGGUGAAGCUCCUAGCGAGUGGAGCCUGAGAGGUUGCAACAAAGAGUCCCUCCCGACUGUUUAUCAAAAACACAGCACUAUGCUAACUCGUAAGAGGAUGUAUAUGGUGUGACGCCUGCCCGGUGCCGGAAGGUUAAAUGAUGGGGUUAGCCGUGAGGCGAAGCUCUUGAUUGAAGCCCCGGUAAACGGCGGCCGUAACUAUUACGGUCCUAAGGUAGCGAAAUUCCUUGUCGGUUAAAUACCGACCUGCAUGAAUGGCGUAACGAGAUGGGAGCUGUCUCAACAAUGGAUCCCAGGUGAAAUUGUAGUGGAGGUGAAAAAUUUCCUCCUAACCCGGCGGCAAGAACGGGAAAAGAACCCCGUGGAACCUUUUACUACAAGUUGGACACUUGCAAAUCCGGGA
rnacentral:rRNA from 1 species